rnacentral:rRNA from 1 species
GAUGAACGCUGGCGGCGUGCCUAAUACAUGCAAGUCGAGCGAACAGACGAGGAGCUUGCUCCUCUGACGUUAGCGGCGGACGGGUGAGUAACACGUGGAUAACCUACCUAUAAGACUGGGAUAACUUCGGGAACCCGGAGCUAAUACCGGAUAAUAUAUUGAACCGCAUGGUUCAAUAGUGAAAGACGGUUUUGCUGUCACUUAUAGAUGGAUCCGCGCCGCAUUAGCUAGUUGGUAAGGUAACGGCUUACCAAGGCAACGAUGCGUAGCCGACCUGAGAGGGUGAUCGGCCACACUGGAACUGAGACACGGUCCAGACUCCUACGGGAGGCAGCAGUAGGGAAUCUUCCGCAAUGGGCGAAAGCUUGACGGAGCAACGCCGCGUGAGUGAUGAAGGUCUUCGGAUCGUAAAACUCUGUUAUUAGGGAAGAACAAAUGUGUAAGUAACUAUGCACGUCUUGACGGUACCUAAUCAGAAAGCCACGGCUAACUACGUG